rnacentral:misc_RNA from 1 species
UGAGGCCACCCUGCAGCAGGUCGGUGUGCCUGACGCAGGAGGAACAUGCGGGUGGUGGACUGCGCAAGGCUGUUGUCUGUGCUGUGUUGAUUGGGAUCCAUAAUAUGUCCUCUGGAUGAUGCACCUCGCCUAAAACACAGACAUGCGUGUGGGACUGGGAGCAAUUGUCUGGACUAUAUUAGUCAUAGGAGGUGCAUCUCUUGUGGGCCAAGUGGUGCGUGUGCUGAGCAUUGACUUGAGGGAACCGCUGGAUGACGGUCACGAUACAAGGCCUAGGCGCAGAGAAUCAGCCCAGGUGGUCCUCGACUCUGCGGCCGACCACCUGAUAUGGUUUAUGCAGAUUUCUGAUCUUCACCUGAGUGUGUUUCAAGAUGCCACAAGAGCGACUCACUUCAGGGAGUUUGCCGCCUCCACUGUGGCCACCAUCAGACCUGCAGUUGUCCUUGCCUCUGGUGACUUGACAGAUGCCAAAGCUGCCGAUAUGCUGGGUUCUCGACAGUACGUUGAGGAAUGGGCCAUAUACAGUAAUGUUCUACGCUCAACAGGGGUCCUGAACAACACUGUUUGGCUGGACAUUAGAGGAAACCAUGACAACUUCAAUGUGGCAUCACUGGCCAGUGAAGAAAACUACUACCAGAAGUACAGUAUUCAGGGUCAGCGUCACCAGCGGUCAUACAUGUAUACCUACACUCGGGGUUCAGAUUCUGUGGCCUUCAUUGCCGUUGAUGCCUGUCUUCUACCAGGUCCUAGAAGACCUUUCAAUUUUAUUGGAAUGGUGACUGCCUCAGAGAUGAGACUACUCGAAGAGUUUGAGAUGGCCAGCAUGCGUCAUAACUACACUAUAUGGUUUGGUCACUAUCCCACUUCUUGCAUACUCUCGUCGGAACCUGGGAUACGUCGUCUGAUGGGCCGUGGACUGGCUUACAUGUGUGGUCACCUGCACACUCUCGGUGGCCUUGUUCCUAACAUGUAUACGCGACAACACACAGGCUCACUGGAACUGGAGUUAGGAGAUUGGAAAGAUGGCCGGAUUUUUCGGGUUGCUGCAAUAGACCACGGGCUGUUUUCUUUCACCGAUCUGAAUCAUGGCACUUGGCCCAUCAUCCUUGUAACAAACCCCAAGCACGCAUUGUAUGCCAUGAAGCACCAUGAACCACUGCACCUAAUUAAAGAAUCGACUCACAUCAGGGUGUUGCUGUGGUCUCUGUGUGCUAUCGCUGAAGCUCGAGUCAGAAUAGACGACUCGAAUUCCUGGCUCGCCCUGUCUCACGAAGAAGGACCCCUCUAUGUAGCCAAGUGGAAUCCAAACACUUAUGUCGAGGGGUUACACUUGAUUGAGGUAUUUGCAAGAGAUGCUAGUGGUCGAGUAGCAACACUUACACAACCGUUUUCUCUGGAUGAAUCUCAACCUUCAUUUCGUUUCUGGCCAAGAGCACUUCUCAUGUCCAACAUCUCUAUGUUUUUUCAGUUCCUCUUUGGCAUUAUGGUGUGUGUUUGUGUAGUUCCCCUGUGUGUGCUGCGCUACAUUCAUCAUCUAGUACUAGAGAGACGCAUGAUCCGUCCUCGUCCAAAAUGGAAGAUCUGCAACAUGUGGCUCCGCAAGUUAUGGGUCUUGGUCUCUGUUGAUAGACUCUUCUGGCCCAUUGUUGUUACUGCUGUGUACUUGCCUGUUGGGCCGUGGUUUGUGGGUGAAGUAAUUGAAGGUCACAUUGGAGUCGUAUUUGCCUGGGGAACUAUUGUAAAUAGAAGCUACCUUCCAGGGUCACUGACAUAUGCAUAUGGCUUUUUCCAAAUGCUGGUCUUUCAUCUCCCUCUCAUCUUGGCUGUGGCACACUGCAUUGACUUCAGAUUCUUGUCGUUAUAUGUUGACCCCCUGUGUAGUUUUCCCCGUUACCUGUGCCGCCAUGUGUGUGUACUGCUACUUAUAACAAUGCAGAUGAUAACGGCGUACUCCUUCUGGCUAGCGUAUGGGACAAUGGCACUGCUCUUGGGACCCCUUCGUACAUGGUCAGCCAUUCUUGGUAUCAUACUGUGGUACCAGUCAUCAACAAUGCACAAAGACCUACUCAGAGAUUAUCUUAAUUUACAGAGGCGCUGCAGAAGUUUGGGCUCCACGGUGCCAGGAUUGGGAUGAUGAUACAAUCAGCAAAGCUUAUGGGAGUCAAGAGCAUGUUGCUCAGAGUGACCUCUGACUCUUCAAGUACUGUACUCGUACAGUAUAUCUUCAGGAAAGAGGAUAUUCAAAACUGUAUGUCUGAAAUGCACCACCACAACUACCUUUGCUUCCACUGUAUUUAUAGCGCCGAUACUUGUCAUAUAACUCCCUGAUGAUGGUGAUAAAUCUUUGAAAUCCGCUACACACACGAGCUAUGCAAAUAAAUCUGGGCAGAUGCCUUCAUACACUCGAAAUAUUCUUAUAAUGUAGUGCACAACAGAUUAUUGUGAUUUAUUACAAAUUCUACCUUAGUAUAUACAGGUAUACUGUAUAAUAAUCAUAAAUAAUCAUUAUUAGAAAUACUAUGCUGCAUCUUAUUUGCUUUGUCAGUAUGAAGGCAUCGUAUGUUGCUGAGUAAUUGUAUUGGUAUAUCUAUAUAGUAUAUAAAGUAGUAGAUAUGCAUCAUGUAUAUACAGUAGUUGAUAUGUGUCAUGUAUAGAAAAACUAAGGAAACAUUGAAGAAUGUAUUGUACUACGUAUCUCAUUGUAGGAUAAAUUUUCUUUGGUCAAUAUCUCCUGACAGCUUAUUGUGUUUAUAAAUCCAUGUGGAGCUUGUAUGGCUAUAGAAGAACAGUCCCCUGCACUUAUACAGUAUACUGUACUCUCGAUUUAAUGGAAUCCGAUAUAACAAACUCUCGAUUUAGCGAAAAGCAUUUUAUCGUUAUUUUUCGCUCGAUUUAGUGAACUACUUCGCGAAAUUGAGAUUAAUGUACCUGUUACAGUGUGCUGGUGCAUUUUGUGAGAUGUGGCAACUCUGUGGAAGGCUUAUCUAGUAGCCUUAGUUUGGAUACUAUUGUGAGGUUCCUUAGGGCCAUUCUGGGAGUUUUAAUACCAUUAAAACAAACACAGAGCUGCCACAUUUCACAAAAUGUGUCAGGUAUAAGUGCAGGCGACUGUAUGCAGAAAUGUGAUAUUAAAUAAUUUUAGAAGAUUAUCAUAAUCAAAUUUGCUGCUCUCCUGGGUUUGCCUUCCAAAUAUUUAUGAAAUUGUUUGAAUAAGGUUUCAGAAUCAUAAAACCAAUAUGAACAUGCUUGUGCAACCAUGUGCUGGUUGUACACUUUUAACAUCUGUUGUUUUCUUAAUGUGUAGGGAAUCAAAUUUAUAUUGUUGUAUGCAUGUAAUGUCAGAGUUGAGUGAAAGAAAUAGUGGUACCGUACUGGGUGAUGACCUAAACUUUAUGUUGGUAUACACACUGAGAGUUAUGAAGGUGUGCAUGGUGGACAAGGCAAUGGUACAAAGAAUGUAGACAGAGAAAGAGUACAGGUACUUGAGCUUGGACAUACAGUACAUUGACAGUGGUACAGUAGUAUGCAACAUGUUAUAUAAGAAGAGGGCAAGUAAGCUGAUCACUCAUGAGUCAGCUGGCACAAAAACCCAGAUUGACGACAGUCUUAUCAGGAAAUUAGAUAGGAAGCAUCUUAGAAAUGUAAAGGUUAUAGCAAGGGUAGAAUUUGCCUUGCAGCACAGAUUGCUUGUGUAUGACAUGUUGUUUAAAAGGUCUUGGGAAAGGAAGAAGAUGUAUUUUCUGAGAAGGAGAGAGUGAAAAUGAAGAGAAGGGUUUUAUACUGAGCUGAGAAGAGUGGAAAUAGCCAGUGUAGUGAGAUGCUGGGUCAUAAUAGAGUAAAUUUUGCUAGGCACAGUACUGGCAUUGUAUGAUGGCCAAAAAACUAGUGAUUAAUUUAAGGUGAAAAUAUAGGUUCAUUUGGGAUCUGUCUUAUGGUCCCUUCUGCUUAUGGUGGUGCUAGAGGCAAUAUCACAGGACUUUAGGACUGGUCUGCCUAGAGAGGCUAAUGACUUAGUACUGUUAACAGAUAGUACUGAGAAGGUAGUUCAGAGGUAAGAGGGCAGCAGGGUAUUGAGAGUACAGUAUUGAUGACGUUUUGUGUAUAGGUAGGUUGAGGUGGUUUGGGUAUGUGAAGAGAAUGGAUGAGACCAAUUGGGUCAAAAAUGCAAGAAUGACAUGGGGAAAGAUGUUUGAAAUGACAUUACGAAUUAAAAACCUGGGAAGACAGUGUGCAGCAUGAAGAGUUACCAUGUGGUAACUGCACCUAACCCCUGCAAGCAUGGAAAAUUGAUGAUGAUGAUACAUGCAAAUUUUAAACAAUGCAUACAAGUUGAGAAGACCUAAUGUACUUGAAUGAAGGGUUCACUGCAAGAAUGCUCAAGAAGUAGAAUGUAAAAUAAAAGCAAUUCAUGAACAAAAUAGUUAAGGAUAGAUCUGUGAUUAGAUAUUAAUAAUCUUGAUAAAGGUGUAUUAACUGGAAAUAACAAAACAUGCUAUGUUUUAAAGAUAGUGAAAAAGGGAAUGAUACCUUCUACACUGUUACAGAGAAGUAAGACUAGUGUGUUUUGGUGUAAAAAUUUUGUAAAAGUGACUUUGUUGUCAUAUAUUGUAAACCAGGGGGAGGUUUAGGUUUGUGGGAAAAGAAAGUUUGCUAUUCUGGAACCAUUGGGUUGCUCUCUUCUGUUUUAUUGCAUCUUUCUCCAUAAAUUUUGUGCAGGAUUUAGACAGUAAGGGGUAGUGGGCAAGCAAGCAUUGAAGGGUGAUGGUUAGGGCAGAAGUGGGUAGUAAGGAAUAGUAAGUAGGACCUUUAAGGGCACCUUCUUACCAGAGUGGGGGGUGGGCGUGCCAGCACACACCCAGUACGGUACCUGCCUGGAUCUCGGAUCUACCACUGACAACAUAUGUUCAUGUGCAACACCAGUACAGGGGGUCCUCAUUAUAAGUGGUUUUGAACUUAAGUGGUCAAAUAAUUGUGGACCUCCACGUAAAAAGUUCCCGCAGUUAAGAGGAUUCUAAGGCUAAAAUCCGUCAAUCUAUAGGAGCAUUAACGUUUGAGUGAUUGAAAUUCCCCUCCGCCUCCCACUCUCUGAAUGGUCAUCCUUUUCACCUGUGCUAUGCAUGCUCAGUACCAGGCACCUGUGUCCACAGGCAUUAUUUUGAAGUGCUCCAAGAACUAUACUUAUCAACUUUGUUGCACCUUGAUGACAUUGGUGGACUAUUUUUGUAGCCAUCAGUUCCAAACCAAAGCAAGGUGGUGUAGUGGCUAAAAGGAAGCAUAGUAGCUAUGGGAUGGAUGUGAAAUUUGAAGUUACAUGUCAUAAGAAAAGUGGUGAGCAUUUAUCACUUUACCAUUUUCAGUGAAAUGAGUGUGUGAGUGCAUGGUUAGGUAGCUUGCGCUGCAUCAACACACCGACCUCAAACGAACUUUAAGUACCUUAAAUAAGUUGUGAAGUUAAAUAAUUUCAUAAAAUAUUGUAUAAUCAAAUGUUUUUAAGGUAUAUAUUAAUGCUAAAAGAUACCAAAUUAAACUUUGAGUGCCACUUAAAAUGUGAUGGUCCCGAUUAGACCCUAUUCCUAUUAAUUCUUAAGGGAAUCAAUUCAUCUUUAUAAGUGGUUUCAUUAGCAGUGGCUUUUUUCUGGUUCCUAUUAACCACUUACAAUGAGGAUCCCCUGUAUUACAUAGCACUGAUCUGAUGAGGUAGUUAAGGCACUAGCAUGAAUUAUGUAAGGAAUAUGAUAUUCAGUUUCUGCUAGCUAUGACUUUAAUGUUUACUUAGAACCUUUAGGGAUUUACAGUACCGUAAGUGAAUUGUCAAAAUGUUCUGCCUCUGCUACUCUACCUGAAGUGAGGAAACUAUCAUACUGGCCAUAGAUCAAGAUAUUUGUAACAUAAUUUAAAUGAGGUUCAUAUUUACUCAAGAAACACUUCCCAAUGACUUUCAGUAAAAAAUACUGUACAAAGGUGAUAAACAUGACCAAGAAAGCAAUGGAUAUAGGAGGAGCUUUGGGAUGCCCUGUGUCUCAUCAACCAUUCCUUCAGUUAAAAGAGGAAUUCUCGAUUACUCAUAUGAAAACCUUGAUGAUGAUGAUGUGUUGGCGGGAGUGUUGAGGUGUCAAGACGUCCAAGGAGUAUUGGUUAUGUUGUUUACCUUAAGUGUAAAAUGUUCAGUAAGUGAUAGAUGUAUAAUAGAGAUUCAUGUAACCUGUAAUCAAAAUUUCCAAGUUUAUUUAGAAUGUGAUAUUACAUAGUACGUAUUGAACUUGUUUACUGUAUUGCAAGUACACGAGGUUAACCAGAUACACUAGCUUCGCUGCUGUGCACAAUAGCAUAUAUUGUUGGAUAUUUUAGUAUUAAUAUACUAUGCCUAUCUUUGGAUUCAUGAUACCUGGAACAAAGUGAUAAUGAUUACUCUCAGUCAUGAAAUACUGUACUGGUGAGCCCCUUUAUAUUCUUCAUACUCAGGAUAAAACAGUACUGUAUUAAAUUAUAACUAAACUGUUUAGAUAUACCAUAAUGUAUUUAGGAUGGUAUAUCAUGUUGCUAAUACCCUAUAAAGUUCUAUAUACAGAACAAUAUUAUCAUAUAUUUCAAGAGUAUUAUGAUUGGUCGUCAUUUUAUCGUGGAAUACAUUUAUUGGUUGAUUAAUUAUUAAUUUUCAGUUUUUGUGUCGGUAUUAAGAGUGUGAUUUACUGUGUGUGUAUCAACCAGUUUUAAAUUUUUAGAGUUUUAAGUUACUUCCAUUUUUCAUUGUCAUUAUAGUUUAGUUAAUGGGUUAGUUUUGUGUCGUACAGUACUUGGUCUUUUAUAACUCCUCAGAGCAAAAGUGACUGGGAUUAUAUUAUGGAUUAUCGUAAUAUAAUUCUUUGCAUUAUAUGUAAUGCUCUUUCUUACUGGUCGAUAUUAAUUUUUUGUGGAUAGUUGUUCGUAAGGAUGUACAUUUUAUUUUCUAUCCAGCAUUACUACUUCAGUGAGCUUUAUUCCUUGUGAUCUCACUCAUUUAUUUAAGCCUGGGAAGAGACUGUUGGAUAUAGACAGGUAUAAGUACAUGUACACUGUACAGUCUCCCAAAAAAGUAUUGUUCCCUUUUCUCAUUGAUGGCAUGUGUCACAAUGGAUGAAUAUUUGCGAUCACUAAUUAUGAUUCCUGCAUUAUGUUAGUAGGUCUGCCUUCCUAGUAUCUGUGAGGUUGCCAGUUAUUAUUUCUGGCAUUUGUUGUAAUUAUGGUGAAUCACUGUGCUCCAUCUUUGGUACAAUAAUAUAAUGAUAUUAAUGUAGCAAAAAUAUAUCAACGGCAGUCAAAUAGUGGGUGUUUUCUGCUGGAAAUCCAUGACCAAUACUAGUACCCGAGACCAGGCCCGGAUUAUGGGGAGGGCGUACCUGGCGCACGCCCAGGGGCCCCCCACAUCUAGGGCCCCGCCCACAACAUUGUAAAAAAAAGUUUUAGAAACCUUUACCACAGAGCGAUAAACAAGUGGAACAGAUUGCCUAACACUCACUGUGCACCACUUACCGUAACUCCACCCGGCCGCCACAAAUGUUUCCUACUAUAACUCAUGAUUGGUGAACUGAUUUAACUUAUUCAACACAGAGAUUAUAAUAAAAUAAUAAAAAGGCUGUAUAAAUAAGUGAACACUACACCACACAAACUUCUUCAAGAUCCAAAACUAAUUCUUCAAUCAGCAGUAAAUUUCCUUGAAAUGUUUCGUUGAAAGAAAACGAGACAGUUUUGAUGCCAAUGAGGAAAAGGAAAAGAUCUGGCAGGAAGCACCGAGUUUGUCCGUUCAGGUCGUCAGAGGCUAUCAAACGUACGGCUCGCUCCACUGGAUUAUGGACGUUCAAGUGAAGUGGAUCUCAGUCCAAGAGACAAUUUCCGAACAAAAUGCUUCAUCACAGUCAUUGAUCAACCAGUGGUAUCCCUAAACGAAAGGAUUGCUCCAUACACGUUGGUGAAGGAUCACUUCGGCCUUUUAAGCAAUCUGGAAACCAUGUCGGCCGAUGCCAUUCAUUCUGCUUCAGAAAAUCUUCUGCAAACUUAUGGAAAAGAUAUUGAUGAAAACAUCUCCAAUGAAAUGAUCUCAAUUCUCGUCUCUGGUAAAGUUGUAUGCAAAAGCCGCGGAUGAGCCCAAUGAGUCGUUUUAUUACAAUCAGCAUUUCCAAAUGUAAAAACGGUUUUGAGGAUAUAUCUGGUGUUAAUGGUCUCCAGUUCUACCGGGGAGCGUUCCUUCUCAAAAAUGAAACUGAUCAACAACAGGCUGCGGACCAAGAUGCGCCAGGAGAGACUCAACAAUCUGAUGCUAUUAAGCACCGAAUCAGACAUUUCAAGAGAACUUCCAUUUGACAUUGUGAUACGUUUAUUUGCUAGAAAAAAAAUCACGCAAAGUGCAUUUGUAAAUGAAUGUAUACGCUUUCUUUGAAUGGAAUAAAUAAUUUGUAAAUGUGUCAUUAUUACUAGAUUUUAUUGUUUCUAUUGAUCUUGGAUAUUACCUAAAUUUAAUUUCAGUUGUCAGCAGGGAGCCCCCCCCCCACUACUAGGCGUCGCCCAGGGCCCCCCCAACCCCUUAAUCCGGUACUGCCCGCGACUCAUUGGAAAAUACAGCUUGCACCGACAGACAUGGAGAAAUGUCACUUUCCGAAUAACAGUAUAGCUAUAAAUCAAUGUUUGUUAGCCAAGCCGUUGUUCGAUCUCCUUGUUGCUUAGGCCUGUGUCGUGUAGGGUGAUGAUACUGCCUCUUGUUGCCUGUGAUGUCUCCAUAUUGACAUUGUCUCAUAGUGUGUAUCAGAGAAUGUUCCAUUGCCAGCAUGAAUCAUGAGAUGAUAUGUUAUAUUCAUAAAUGUUAUCUCAUCAAUUGAGGUAGAAAUGAUAUCGAAAUCCAGUAAAUCAUAAUGUCAUUGUAAUUGGAUAUGGCAUCAUUAUACACCUGUAAUUACUGUAUUUGCAAAUGAGUGUAAUAUCGGAUCGUGGUGUUUCAUAUUUCAUUCGAAGCGAUUCCAUUGUAACCUCGGUUCAUGAAAACAUAUUAACGUUAUAUUUCUAUUUGGCAACCCAUCCCCUGGGGCUGACAUAUUAUCUAAGGUGCAUAAAUCAGCGAGGUUACUCAUGACGUUAUUGGUUUUGCAAUGGUAUCACAAUUCAUCCUAUUUUUUUUACAUUAUGUAGAGAAUAAUUGGUUUACUGCAGGUAUGGCGAUUAUCAGGUGCAAGAAGAAAGAGCAAAAGAUGCAACUCACAAUCAGAAAUACCAACCAAACCAAGACUGCUGUGCAUGUGUUAUUGUGUUCAUUUUCAAAUAUAUCAGGCCUGGGGGGGAAGGUGAUACUCUUUGGGGGAGUGUACAUUGUUUAGUGUACAGUACUGUAUACCUCCCCAGUUAUUUGCCUAAUAACAUUCCUGUUCAAGCCUGGUCAGUCAGUCUUUCAGUAAAAAUGUAGGUAUAAUUGAUCGGUGUUAAGAUUAGGCACCUUAGUUUAUUUCACCUUAAGAUUAACCACUCUAACAUAGGGUGUUUAAUUAUCUGGUGGAAGAAGCUGGGGUGCCUAAUCUUCAAGUGACUCUGUAUCAUAAUUCUAACUACUGUAUAAACAUUUACUUGAAAGGUAGUCAUCAAAGAUUCAACAUGAGCGAUGUAGACUUCAAGUUAGUAAACAAAUCCCACUUCAUGGCGGGGGAUGAGUGAACUUAUGUUACAAAUAUUGUGUGCUUACUCCCUUAUUGAUUGGUCAUUCAGUGCUUUCAAAUGUGAGAAUUAAAGUACAGUACAAGCUGUAAUGUAAUGUGUGUUCAAUAUUCAGUGCUGUAAUGCUAAAUUAUUGUUCAAGAACUACCUCCUUGUGGCCAAGGAAGAAAUAUUAUGUGAGAACAAGUUAUAUAGAUGUACUGUACUAAGUAGACAGGUAGAGAACACAGUAUUGUACAGUAUCACAGCACAGGUCAUUAUUAUUAUCUCCAGUGCAAUACUGUACAGGUAGUCAUAUCGUAUAGUUAUCCAACAAGUGGUAUUUUUAAAUAUGAAACAGACAGCUUUUAGAUAAGGAACAUUUACUUCAGCUGUUUAUAAGAAAAUAAACUUGAAAAUUUAUAUGAAUUAAAUUUUAAAGUCAUUCAUGGUAGUUUUAAAAUAAAAGUUCAGGCCAGGAUAAUUUGAGAAAAGUUACACUGAAUAUUAUUUCUAUAGACAAAUACAAAGUUAUCCUGCUGUGGCUACACCACUCUCCACAUAAUGUAGUUAUUCAAUUUGCCAAACUUAUCAUUUUCAUAUACAUUACUUGAUAAUUAUUAAUAUGAAAUCUACAGUAAUAAAUAAUAUAAAUUCAA